rnacentral:rRNA from 1 species
GAUGAACGCUGGCGGCGUGCCUAAUACAUGCAAGUCGAGCGAACAGACGAGGCGCUUGCUCCUCUGACGUUAGCGGCGGACGGGUGAGUAACACGUGGAUAACCUCCCUAUAAGACUGGGAUAACUUCGGGAAACCGGAGCUAAUACCGGAUAAUAUAUUGAACCGCAUGGUUCAAUAGUGAAAGACGGUUUUGCUGUCACUUAUAGAUGGAUCCGCGCCGCAUUAGCUAGUUGGUAAGGUAACGGCUUACCAAGGCGACGAUGCGUAGCCGACCUGAGAGGGGGAUAGGCCACACUGGAACUGAGACACGGUCCAGACUCCUACGGGAGGCAGCAGUAGGGAAUCUUCCGCAAUGGGCGAAAGCCUGACGGAGCAACGCCGCGUGAGUGAUGAAGGUCUUCGGAUCGUAAAACUCUGUUAUUAGGGAAGAACAAAUGUGGAAGUAAAUAUGCACGUCUUGACGGUACCGAAUCAGAAAGCCACGGCUAACUACGUG